AGCCACAUGGUGCGUCGCCUUCAUACCUCCCUGUUGGACUAUGGCCGAGCUUAGUGCUCGGCCUUUUUU
rnacentral:ncRNA from 1 species